rnacentral:SRP_RNA from 1 species
UCCGUGAACCGGGUCAGGACCGGAAGGUAGCAGCCCUAAGCGGACUCUUCCAUGUGCCGCGGGGUAGCUUGGUCUGAGCUGGCUGCCGGCGGGCGCUUGGAGGUCCGUCUUCGAAGGUGGGUGCACGG